CCCAACUAUCCCUAUUAAUCAUUACGUCAAUCCUAGAAACCAACAAAAUAGGAUCAAACGUCCUAUUUCAUUAUUCCAUGCUAAUGUAUUCAAGCGUUAGCCUGCUUUAAACACUCUAAUUUUUUCAAAGUAACAGUCCUGUUUCCCUGCAACACCAAAUUAAUGACAUUACAGUUCUUCAAGAAGGAGGAACCAGUAAAGCCAGUACAUACCAGAGGCACGACCAACUUACUAAUCCCGAAAUUCAACUACGAGCUUUUUAACUGCAACAACUUUAAUAUACGCUAUUGGAGCUGGAAUUACCGCGGCUGCUGGCACCAGACUUGCCCUCCAA
rnacentral:misc_RNA from 1 species